CUACGUAGGGAGCAAGCGUUGUCCGGAAUUACUGGGCGUAAAGGGUGCGUAGGCGGUUUGAUAAGUCAAAUGUGAAAUACACUGGCUCAACCAGUGGGCUGCGUUUGAAACUGUCAGACUAGAGGACAGGAGAGGAGAGUGGAAUUCCUGGUGUAGCGGUGAAAUGCGUAGAUAUCAGGAAGAACACCAGUAGCGAAGGCGGCUCUCUGGCCUGAACCUGACGCUGAGGCACGAAAGCGUGGGUAUCAAACGGGAUUAGAUACCCCGGUAGUCCACGCCGUAAACGCUGGAUACUAAGUGUUGGGGGUUAGACUCCCUCGGCGCUGGAGUAAAUGCAUUAAGUAUCCCGCCUGGGGAUUACGAUCGCAAGAUUGAA
rnacentral:rRNA from 1 species